rnacentral:rRNA from 1 species
UCGGGAAUUUUGGGCAAUGGGCGAGAGCCUGACCCAGCAACGCCGCGUGAAGGAUGAAAUCCCUCGGGAUGUAAACUUCGCAAGAACGGGAAGAGUAAGUAAGAGUUAACAUCUCUUAUGAUGACGGUACUGUUUGUAAGCUCCGGCUAACUCCGUGCCAGCAGCCGCGGUAAUACGGGGGGAGCAAGCGUUGUUCGGAUUUACUGGGCGUAAAGGGCGCGUAGGCGGCCACCGCAAGUCGACUGUGAAAUCUCCGGGCUUAACUCGGAAAGGUCAGCCGAUACUGCGGGGCUAGAGUGCAGAAGGGGCAACUGGAAUUCUCGGUGUAGCGGUGAAAUGCGUAGAUAUCGAGAGGAACACCUGCGGCGAAGGCGGGUUGCUGGGCUGACACUGACGCUGAGGCGCGAAAGCUAGGGGAGCGAACGGGAUUAGAUACCCCGGUAGUCCUAGCCUUAAACGAUGAAUGCUUGGUGUCUGGGGUUUUAUAGUCCCCGGGUGCCGUCGCUAACGCUUUAAG